rnacentral:rRNA from 1 species
CCUACGGGUGGCAGCAGUGGGGAAUAUUGCACAAUGGGCGAAACCCUGAUGCAGCGAAGCCGCGUGAGUGAAGAAGUAUCUCCGUGUUGAAAGCUCUAUCAGCAGGGAAGAAAAUGACUGUACCUGAUUAAUAAGCCACUGCUAAAGACGUUCCAGCAGCCGCGGGAAUACGGAGGGCGCAAGCGUUAUCCGGAUUUACUGGGGUGUAAGGGGGCGUAGACGGGAGCACAAGUCUGGAGGGAAAUGCCGGGGCUUAACCCCGGAACUGCCUUGGAAACUGUGCAGCUAGAGUGAAGGAGAGGUAAGUGGAAUGCGUGGUGUAGCGGUGAAAUGCGUAGAUAUCAGGAAGAACACCAGUGGCGAAGGCGGCUUACUGG